rnacentral:rRNA from 1 species
UAAUACGAAGGGUGCAAGCGUUACUCGGAAUUACUGGGCGUAAAGCGUGCGUAGGUGGUUCGUUAAGUCCGAUGUGAAAGCCCUGGGCUCAACCUGGGAAUGGCAUUGGAUACUGGCGGGCUAGAGUGCGGUAGAGGAUAGUGGAAUUCCUGGUGUAGCAGUGAAAUGCGUAGAGAUCAGGAGGAACAUCCGUGGCGAAGGCGACUGUCUGGACCAGCACUGACACUGAGGCACGAAAGCGUGGGGAGCAAACAGGAUUAGAUACCCUGGUAGUCCACGCCCUAAACGAUGCGAACUGGAUGUUGGGCUCAACUUGGAGCUCAGUAUCGAAGCUAACGCGUUAAGUUCGCCGCCUGGGGAGUACGGUCGCAAGACUGAAACUCAAAUGAAUUGACGG